rnacentral:lncRNA from 1 species
UAAACACCCCAAGCUUGAGCAGUCUGUGGAGCAUUUUGUUUUUGCAUCUCAUUUCUGGUACUUAAUCAGACUUCUGCAGCUUGGAGAGGUCAUUGCUGAGAUGAGGCCUCAGAACUUCAAACAUCCCCUCUUGGUUGGACCAAGAAGGGUUAAAUGAGUCUGAUGAAUUGUGGAGGCUGCUGGUAUUGAGAAGUGUGAACUCCAGUCUGCAUGAGGCCAGCCAGGAAAUGCCAGAUUUACCAGCAUUCUUUGACAAGAACACCAGGAAUGAUAAGAGCUCACAGCAACCAGCCCUCUUUAAAGUGGGGACAGAAGAGUUUCAGUGGACACCUUUCCCCCCUGCCUUCACAUUUGUUGGUCAGUUCAAAAACCCAGACUCUUCUCAUUUCACAAAAGGGAAACCUGCUCUGAUCCUCCAUGAACAAGCGCAGGGAGUGGGCCAGAGCAGCGGGCCUUCCUCCUGGGGGCCCUCUGCUGGGGGCCGCGAGAACCUGGAGCCAAGGCGUGACCAUGGAACUGGGGUGAAAAGGCCUUUGGAACGAAGGGACAGUGGCAUCGAGGCUUCGAAGAGCAGACUUCCACAGCGCAGGAAGAAACAGAGACUUUGGGGGGAGGGCGACGCCUCCUCCCCAGCAUCUCCCCAGACCCUCACCUCAGGGGUGAGCCGUCCAGGGUACUCUUCCUCUGAAGAGCCCAGGCACAGCCUUUGCUCAGAGGGUGCCAGAGUGGAAAAAGAUGCCGCCUCUGCUGCCGUGAGCCAGGGAAUAGUGGCACUUGAUAGCUGUCCGAUGUGCCAGGUCCCAUUUACUGGAAAGUUCUCCCAGCUGGAUAUUGAUAGCCAUCUUGCUAAAUGCUUGUCAGAGAGUAUUGAAGAUGUGACGUGGUAA